rnacentral:lncRNA from 1 species
AAGGCUUGUAUUUCCUUGCUCCUUCCUGCCUCCUAUUCCUCCAGGCUGCUCGGUCACUCUCAAAGAGGGUCCGGAAUGCCCUUCCAAGGCCUCAGUGUUGAAGGUAUAGUCCCCAGUGUUGAGCUACUUGGAGUCGAUAUCAGCUUUAAGAGGCUUUUCCCGCCUAAUGAAUUUGAGCCUUUGCGAGCGCCGUGUGAUUGACAGAGCCACAGACUGACAGCUUCAAGUUUCUAGGGUUUAUGGCAGCCUUUUUGGACCCACGCAGGUGAGCAGGCAAUGAGAAGAACGUUUCCAUUUCAGAGCAUGGCCUUGAUUGCUUGUCUGAGUCUCCCUAAAAAUCACUUAGACUUUCGUGCAUUCAACAAACAUGUCUUGACUCUCCAAGACUUGUACCCUGGGCAGUGCCAUGAUAUGCCAUGAAUCGAUUAUGCCCUUUGCCGUCAGGGAGCUCUGACUGGCAGGAUUGGAGAAGAGGGAGCUCCAGAGGACACAAGAUGCAACUGUCCCUGGGUUUGACUAUAAAAGAGGAGCUGCUAACCAGAUUAACCCUACAAAUGACAAAACCUUGAAGAGAGAAGAAUGGUAGACAGUGGGAGGCAUUGGCUCCCAUUUAUGGCUUGGCCUGGUUAGACUCCUCACUCAAGGACACACAUUCUGCUAUGGAUGAGGGAUCAGGUGUACAGAUGUGAUGCUGAGGCUGGAGGGCCACUGAGGUAAAACAUCAGGAGAGUGCAUGAAGUGUGUCAAACUGUUUGGGAUUUAUCUUACAGUCAGGAGAGCUGUUAAGCAUUCCCAAGGAAGAGGAUGACAAGCGA